CUUGUGUCCGUCUGUCUUUUGCUGUGACCUGUUAUAAAUGUGAUUCUGUUGACCAACCUGCACAUUGCUAUCAAACAGCAAACUGUCAGGCAGGUGAGAUAUGUAUGGUUUCACAGAAUCCUAAGUUAAAUGGAGACCUCUUCUUCA